AUUGAACGCUGGCGGCAUGCUUUACACAUGCAAGUCGUACGGUAACAGGCCGCAAGGUGCUGACGAGUGGCGAACGGGUGAGUAAUGCAUCGGAACGUGCCCAGUCGUGGGGGAUAACUGCUCGAAAGAGCAGCUAAUACCGCAUACGAUCUAUGGAUGAAAGCGGGGGACCGUAAGGCCUCGCGCGAUUGGAGCGGCCGAUGUCAGAUUAGGUAGUUGGUGGGGUGAAGGCUCACCAAGCCAACGAUCUGUAGCUGGUCUGAGAGGACGACCAGCCACACUGGGACUGAGACACGGCCCAGACUCCUACGGGAGGCAGCAGUGGGGAAUUUUGGACAAUGGGGGCAACCCUGAUCCAGCAAUGCCGCGUGCAGGAAGAAGGCCUUCGGGUUGUAAACUGCUUUUGUACGGAACGAAACGGUCUGGGUUAAUACCCUGGGCUAAUGACGGUACCGUAAGAAUAAGCACCGGCUAACUACGUGCCAGCCGCCGCAGUAACAC
rnacentral:rRNA from 1 species